GCUUACGGCCACACAGCCUGGUUCUCUGAUCUCGUUUGAUCUCGGAAGCUAAGAUAGGUUGGGCCUGGUUAGUACUUGGAUGGGAGACCGUCUGGGAAUACCAGGUGCUGUAUGCU
rnacentral:rRNA from 1 species